UACGGAGGAUCCAAGCGUUAUCCGGAUUUAUUGGGUUUAAAGGGUGCGUAGGCGGCCUAUUAAGUCAGGGGUGAAGACGGUGGCUCAACCAUCGCAGUGCCCUUGAUACUGAUAGGCUUGAAUACACUAGAGGUAGGCGGAAUGUGACAAGUAGCGGUGAAAUGCAUAGAUAUGUCACAGAACACCAAUUGCGAAGGCAGCUUACUAUGGUGUUAUUGACGCUGAGGCACGAAAGCGUGGGGAUCAAACAGG
rnacentral:rRNA from 1 species